rnacentral:misc_RNA from 1 species
AACGCACAUUGCGCCCGCCAGUAUUCUGGCGGGCAUGCCUGUCCGAGCGUCAUUUCAACCAUCAAGCCCUGGGCUUGUGUUGGGGACCUGCGGCUGCCCGCAGGCCCUGAAAACCAGUGGCGGGCUCGCCGACACUCCGAGCGCAGUAGUAUCUAUCUCGCUCAGGGCGUGUCGCGGGUUCCGGCCGUUAAACGAGGGGCGACCCCGUCACCUCUCCCCCAAAAGGUUGACCUCGGAUCAGGUAGGAAGACCCGCUGAACUUAA